AACAAAAAACUCUUUUUUUUUUUUGCACACACAUGCAAGCACACUCCUGCUCUCACCUGAGGCUUUGGGAGAUCUGAAGGUAUCUUUCCCUGAUUCAUUCCUCCUCACUGUCUUUCUUGGUCAGGUCAUUUUUGCUUGUGAGUGAUAGAGAACCCAACCCCAACUGGCUUAUGCAACAAAGGGAAUGUUUUGGCCCUCAUAACAUAAAAGUUGGAGUGCAGUCUUCAGGCAUAACUGGAUCAAGGAUUCAAUGAAGUCUUCAAGACCCCAGUUUCUCUCUCUCUCUGCUUAGGGUCUGGCUUUAAUCUCCAGCUCAGCUUGGGAUCCUCAGACACUCUGAAUUUCCCUCUGCGGUGGCAAGAUGCCUGCUAUACCUCAUGUUUCCACACCCUAGGGGUCACUUUAGAAGGAAGAUCUGGAUGAUAUUGAACAUCAUUGGCUAGAAUUACAUCAGAUACCCCUUUGCAGGCCAACCACUACACUUGGGGCAUGGAAUGAACUGAUUGGCUGAGAUCCCAGACACUGCCCACGCCUGGAGCCCCUGAGACAAGGAUGAGCAGAUGCUGCCAAGUCAAACCUCAGAAGUCCUCUGUGGUCACACCAGGAUGCAGGACGUGGGAGGACGUGGGCAGAUCCUGUGGGCAGGAUCCCAUGGCCCAGGGCAGCCAGGGCUCCAGCCUGUCCACUGCAGACCUGGUCAAAGAGGAGGCCAGCCCCCAGCUCUGGAGGGCAGAGAAUUUCACAAACUCCUUGCCUGGCCACCUGCAUCCAGUUCCCAACCAGACUCCUGUGGAGGCAGCCUUCAUGGCCAAGGUCAGAAGAGCCCCUGCCUGGAACUUCUCAGCCGUCUUCACCUCUUCUUGGAGCCGUGGGCUCAACCCUGACUCAUUGGUGGGACCCUGGCAAGUUGCUCGGUGAAUGAACUCACAGGCAUUGAAGUUUUGAUCUGUGUGUUUAUCUCCCACUCACCCACCUCUGCACUAACCGAAUUCUUCUCCUUGCCCUGAGGGUGUCUUUCCUCUUCCAGCCUCCACAGCUAAGCGUGAGUCACUUGCUGCAGAACCAGACCUCCAGGCUGCAAAGGCUCACUGGCCCAGGAUGAUGGAGGAAGAUGCUGCUGGAUGUGGGCUUUCAUGUUGGCUGGGUCUGGGGAAGAAUAAAGGUAGGAGGGGCUGAGAGCCA
rnacentral:lncRNA from 1 species